rnacentral:rRNA from 1 species
AUUGAACGCUGGCGGCAGGCCUAACACAUGCAAGUCGAGCGGUAACACAGAGGAGCUUGCUCCUUGGGUGACGAGCGGCGGACGGGUGAGUAAUGCCUGGGGAUCUGCCCGAUAGAGGGGGAUAACUACGGGAAACUGUAGCUAAUACCGCAUAAUGUCUACGGACCAAAGUGUGGGCUCAUCGGAACUCCUGCUAUCGGAUGAACCCGGGUGGGAUUAGCUAGUUGGUGGGGUAAUGGCGCACCAAGGCGACGAGCUCUAACUGGUUUGAGAGAAUGACCAGUCACACUGGAACUGAGACACGGUCCAGACUCCUACGGGAGGCAGCAGUGGGGAAUAUUGCACAAUGGGCGCAAGCCUGAUGCAGCCAUGCCGCGUGUGUGAAGAAGGCCUUCGGGUUGUAAAGCACUUUCAGCGGGGAGGAAGGGCUACUAGUUAAUACCUAGUGGCAUUGACGUUACUCGCAGAAGAAGCACCGGCUAACUCCGUGCCAGCCGCCGCCGUAA